rnacentral:rRNA from 1 species
UACGAAGGGGGCUAGCGUUGUUCGGAAUUAUUGGGCGUAAAGGGUGCGUAGGCGGUUCGGUAAGUUUUAUGGGAAAUCUUCGGGCUUAACUCGAAGCCUGCAUAAAAUACUGCCGGGCUUGAGUAUGGGAGAGGUGAGUGGAAUUUCCGGUGUAGCGGUGAAAUGCGUAGAUAUCGGAAGGAACACCUGUGGCGAAAGCGGCUCACUGGACCAUAACUGACGCUGAGGCACGAAAGCUAGGGGAGCAAACAGG